AGCAUAUCAAUAAGCGGAGGAAAAGAAACCAACAGGGAUUGCCCUAGUAACGGCGAGUGAAGCGGCAACAGCUCAAAUUUGAAAUCUGGCUUUCGGGCCCGAGUUGUAAUUUGUAGAGGAUGAUUUUGAUGCGGUGCCUUCCGAGUUCCCUGGAACGGGACGCCAUAGAGGGUGAGAGCCCCGUCUGGUUGGAUGCCAAAUCUCUGUAAAUCUCCUUCGACGAGUCGAGUAGUUUGGGAAUGCUGCUCUAAAUGGGAGGUAUAUGUCUUCUAAAGCUAAAUACCGGCCAGAGACCGAUAGCGCACAAGUAGAGUGAUCGAAAGAUGAAAAGCACUUUGAAAAGAGAGUUAAAAAGUACGUGAAAUUGUUGAAAGGGAAGCGUUUAUGACCAGACUUGGGCUUGGUUAAUCAUCUGGGGUUCUCUCCAGUGCACUUUUCCAGUCCAGGCCAGCAUCAGUUUUCGCCGGGGGAUAAAGGCUUCGGGAAUGUGGCUCCCCUCGGGGAGUGUUAUAGCCCGUUGUGUAAUACCCUGGUGGGGACUGUGGUUCGCGCUUCUGCAAGGAUGCUGGCGUAAUGGUCAUCAACGACCCGUCU
rnacentral:rRNA from 1 species